UCCGGUUGAUCCUGCCAGAGGCUACUGCUAUCGGGGUCCGACUAAGCCAUGCGAGUUGAGAGGGGUAAGCCCUCGGCAUAUUGCUCAGUAACACGCGGAUAACCUGCCCUUGGGUUUGGGAUAACCCCGGGAAACUGGGACUAAUACCGGAUAGAUCAAAGAUACUGGAAUGUUCUUUGUUCGAAAGCUCCGGCGCCCAAGGAUGGGUCUGCGGCCUAUCAGGUAGUAGUGGGUGUAACGUACCUACUAGCCUACGACGGGUAAGGGUUGUGAGAGCAAGAGCCCUGAGAUGGAUUCUGAGACAUGAAUCCAGGCCCUACGGGGUGCAGCAGGCGCGAAAACUUUACACUGCGGGAAACCGCGAUAAGGGGACCCCGAGUGCCAGCACCUAGUGUUGGCUGUCCAGCUGUUCAAAAAACAGUUGUUAGCAAGGGCCGGGCAAGACCGGUGCCAGCCGCCGCGGUAACACCGGCGGCCCGAGUGGUAGCCGUUAUUAUUGGGUUUAAAGGGUCCGUAGCCGGCUUAUUAAGUCUCUUGGGAAAUCUGGCGACUCAAUCGUCAGGCGUUCAAGAGAUACUGAUCGGCUUGGGACCGGGAGAGGUGGGAGGUACUCCAGGGGUAGGGGUGAAAUCUCGUAAUCCUUGGGGGACCACCGAUGGCGAAGGCAUCCCACCAGAACGGGUCCGACGGUGAGGAACGAAAGCUGGGGGCACGAACCGGAUUAGAUACCCGGGUAGUCCCAGCUGUAAACGAUGCUCGCUAGGUGUCAGGUGCGGUGCGACCGCAUUUGGUGCCGU
rnacentral:rRNA from 1 species